CCAACUCUUAGGCACAAUUUGGAGAGUACAAAGUGCUAAGUUUAGUUACAAAAAAUUCCUUCAAGACGAAGGGAAUCAAGCAUAUGUACAAACAAAAACCUGUGGAAAGUCAAUGAGCGAUUAAGAAGUUGACAAGUAACAAACAACGCUUGUCCCGACCUUAGUCCAGAUCGUCUAUUUGUAGGUGCACCGGUCCUGUAAUAAAGUAGGGGUGAGCAUCACAAACGUUCAUCGCUCCCCCUCAAGGAAUCCACCCUAGCUAGGUUUGAAAAUAGUAUACAACACUAUAUAUACUAUAGAAAAAUGUUUGAUGCACAACAAAAGCUUUGUUUAGUUUUGAAAAUAGAUUGUAUGCUCACACAAUUUCCUUUUAAAAAGAAAACAGGGAUCCCUAUAAAUCACUACAUGCCUGAUGACCGGUCCAAUGACUAACUACCCCCUUACUUGGACAAACUCUUAACGAAUAUACUUAUGGUAAGGUGUAGCAAGAGUGUCCUUUAAUGCUCUACCCUUAGAUAUCCAAGUACCUCUCCUAGAAAGGUAGCGGUACUAAUCCCUUCGUAGUAGCCCCUCCGGAGGUUUAGGGGAUCGAAACCCAAGGCGGUCGCUAUGCCCCUUUCACUCUCAAGUCAUCAAUUAAUUUGUAGCAUAAAACAACAUGCAUAUCAUGAUAUAAAACAAACCAUUUUUCCUCAUGGUUCUAUCACAACAAAAUAUAUGCAACUUUCACAGGCAUUCGUAUAUUUACAUAUACGUACAUUCACAAAAUUCCAUAACUAGGGUAAGUGAGGAUCCCCCUACCUGGUCUCCAAGCCAAGCAAGCAAUAUUCCUCACCAAUACCUCGAUCCCAAAGCUAAAACGAAGAUCCGCGUCACUACCGCAAUAACUAGACUCCACGUACUUGAAUAAAUUCCUUGAUCACGUCCAAAUACUAAGUAUUUCUACCACACAUAUCUUUUCUAAUCUCUCUCACUAUAUAUAAAUAUAUAAUGUAUAAGAACUAAACCUAAGUAUAUAGCAUAAGUUCAGAACUGCAUGCACUUGCAUGUCAAACUCUCAUAAUAUCUCUCGGCAAAGGCUUAACAUGCAUCUAUCUCCAUCUCUCUGUCCUACAAGAGCUCACAUGCUGCAUGCUUC
rnacentral:lncRNA from 1 species